UUUGUAGAACUAGUUUACUCACCUCGCUUCGAAGGCUUCGAGUAGGCGUACGUCUAAUAUGUUUUCUUCUGGUUCCCAAGUGUUGUACCUGGGUUGAAAAAAAGACAGGUUUAAUGGAGAAUGUCGAAAACAAUCUCAAAAUAUUGGGUAAACAGAGAAAACUGGCAGAAUUAUACUGGGAAAGGAAGCAUAUAUACUUACUUUGGGCUCCAUCCCUUCCACUUCACCAAGUAUUCGACCCGACCCUGUGAAGACAGAAAAAUAAACAUUAUUAACUUCACCAUUCUUCUGUUCAGAAAAAAAAUCAAUAUUUUUUAGGGGAUCAAAGAAAUAGAUGAAUCACAAUUCAAGAAACCUGAUAGUUUCAGCGCUUCCUUCUCCAGCAAAUGGUGAUGGUGAGAAUUUUGAAAGGAGGAAUCACAGACAUAUUCCAUUUCGUGAUCAAAAGAAAGGACCAGGACUGGAAGUAACGACUUCAUUUCUGGAAAGUAUCAAUGCUUAUUGGGAAAACAACUUCAUUCCUAAGAAGAAUCAGCUUUGAAAGAAAUAGUUUCACUCGUGGGAAUAACAGGUAUAAAACUGUACUGUUUUGAUGUCACUAUAUACGAGUAGAGUUAUUUACGUAGGAUGUCAUAACUGAUAUAACCAGUUCAAAGGUAAUUGCUUCUGAAGGAUGAUAGUGCUUAUACCGAUCAUUUAUUCACAAAUAAUUAGGUGUGUAUAAAGACAGCAUAAAAUAUAAUUCCGUUUGUGUGUAAAUUUCUACUCGUGUUAGUCGUUUGUGCGACUAGGUGUUUAGGAUAACAAAACCACGUGUAAUGGUUUAGGAGUAUUCGGUUUUGCAGGGAUUCUGUGUUCUCUGUUAACUUUGUUUCUAAACAUUUAAUUUGUUAAUGUUACAUCGAUUUUUGUACAUUUACUGGUAAUUCUCAGGAAGGCUGUAGAAGGUAUAAUCUAUAAG